AGCUCCAAUAGCGUAUAUUAAAGUUGUUGCAGUUAAAAAGCUCGUAGUUGGAUUUCGGACUGGCACAGUUGGGUCUGCCGCGAGGUGUGUUACUCGGCUGUGCUGUCUUCUUCUCAGAGUCCUACUGUGCACUUGAUUGUGUGCAGUAGUUUGGAAUUUGAGACGUUUACUUUGAAAAAAUUAGAGUGUUCAAAGCAGGCUUUUUAGGCCCGAAUACAUGAGCAUGGAAUAAUGGAAUAGGACUACGGUCUUAUUUUGUUGGUUUCUGAGACCGAAGUAAUGAUUAAGAGGGACAAUUGGGGGCAUCCGUAUUUCGUUGUCAGAGGUGAAAUUCUUGGAUUUACGAAAGACGAACAACUGCGAAAGCAUUUGCCAAGAGUGUUUUCAUUA
rnacentral:rRNA from 1 species